rnacentral:rRNA from 1 species
AACGAACGCUGUCGGCAUGCCGAACACAUGCAAGUCGAACGAUACCUUCGGGUCUAGUGGCGCACGGGUUCGUAACGCGUGGGAACCUGCCCUUAGGUUCGGGAUAACUCCCCGAAAGGGGUGCUAAUACCGGAUAAUGUCUUCGGACCAAAGAUUUAUCGCCUUUGGUUGGUCCCGCGUUGGAUUAGCUAGUUGGUAGAGUAACAGCCUACCAAGGCGACGAUACAUAGCGGGUCUCAGAGGAUGAUCAGCCACACUGGGACUAUGACACGGCCCACACUCGUACGCAAAGAAGGCGCGGGGCAUACCGGACAACGGGCGCACGGCUGAUCGAGCUAGGCCGCGGGAGUCAUGAAGAACUUCGGGUUGUAAAGCUCUCUUACCCGCGCUGACAAUGACGGUACCGGGAGACUAAGCGCCGGCUCACCCAGUG